rnacentral:lncRNA from 1 species
UAAGAUUGAGGCUUCUCCCACUUGAGUGGCUUCACGACUUCCCAGGUGAAGUCUGGGUCGUCCCUUCCAAAGUGUCCAUAGGCAGCUGUCUUCAAGAACCUGCUAUUGCCACCCCUCUUAAGGUCAAGAUUGAUAGUGAUCAUUCCAGGCCUAAAGUCAAAGUUCUCCUUCACAAUCUUAAGGAUUUCCUUGUCCGGAAUCUUUCCAGUUCCAUAUGUGUCAACAUAGACUGAUAAUGGCUUUGGCACACCAAUGGCAUAAGAGACCUGCACUAUGCACCUGCGAGCAAGGCCAUUUGCCACAAUACU